AUUGAACGCUGGCGGCAUGCUUUACACAUGCAAGUCGAACGGUAACAGGCCUUCGGGUGCUGACGAGUGGCGAACGGGUGAGUAAUACAUCGGAACGUACCCAGAGGUGGGGGAUAACGCAGCGAAAGCUGCGCUAAUACCGCAUGUGAUCUGAGGAUGAAAGCGGGGGACCGAGCAGCAAUGUUUGGCCUCGCGCCUUUGGAGCGGCCGAUGUCGGAUUAGCUAGUUGGUGGGGUAAAGGCCUACCAAGGCGACGAUCCGUAGCUGGUCUGAGAGGACGACCAGCCACACUGGGACUGAGACACGGCCCAGACUCCUACGGGAGGCAGCAGUGGGGAAUUUUGGACAAUGGGCGCAAACCUGAUCCAGCAAUGCCGCGUGCGGGAAGAAGGCCUUCGGGUUGUAAACCGCUUUUGGCAGGAACGAAACGGUGUCCGCUAAUACCGGGCGCUAAUGACGGUACCUGCAGAAUAAGCACCGGCUAACUACGUG
rnacentral:rRNA from 1 species